UGAGUAACCUGCCCUUAACUCUGGGAUAAGCCUGGGAAACUGGGUCUAAUACCGGAUAUGACUCCUCAUCGCAUGGUGGGGGGUGGAAAGCUUUUUGUGGUUUUGGAUGGACUCGCGGCCUAUCAGCUUGUUGGUGAGGUAAUGGCUCAUCAAGGCGACGACGGGUAGCCGGCCUGAGAGGGUGACCGGCCACACUGGGACUGAGACACGGCCCAGACUCCGUACGGGAGCAG
rnacentral:rRNA from 1 species